CCGCCCGACUCUAACGCAGAGCUGUGAGCCUGAAGGGCCGCGCUGGACAUGGCCAGAGAAAGACUUUUCUUUUUCCAACUUCGGCGUUUGGUUUUGUGUGUCCACCACGCGCAGCUCCGGAGCUGGCAGACCCCAAAUGGAUUCUCAACAGGUGGCCAAAAAUAUAUGGUGGCGAUAGUGCCAAAGCACUGCACCGGAGAACAGUGGUUAUUCAACCAGGCAGGGUCAGAGAGAAGUCUGGGGAGAAACGGAGAGCAGGUGAGGCGAGUGGUGGACGCAGAAUUUCCGAGAACUCUAUGGACCCCCCUUGAUGGCAAGUCUGACCGUGGAUGGUCACGGCUCUGGCUGUUACUGGCUGUUACCGUGUUAUCAACAUCUCCUCUGCCGGGUCUCCUGUCCACCGGACUGGGAAGCUGCUCCGCUCAUGGAGACAAGGAAGAAGAGCAAAGGGGACACUGACUUGCCUUUCCUGCCCGUGCAGUGUGAGUUCGGAAUAUUCUUGUUUCUUUCCCGUUAAUAACAUAACAACCUAUUUGUAUUUAUCACCACUUCUCCUAUAUUACAGAGCCCUUUUCCCUUCCCCCCGGGUCAUCACGGAAACAUUAGAGUAAUACUCUUUUCUCAGUUAACCUUUCCUUCCAGGAUAGGUUUAUGUUUGAGAGGAAACAUGUGAUAAAGCGCAGAGUAAUUUUAAAUACAUGAUUUGCCAUGUUAACACUUGUCACUUAUCAUAUGCACUUCAGUCCGACCUCCCUGCCAUUCUGUUAACCUUCAGAGGCGCGUGAGAGCAAGCCAUUUGCAGGCGCCCUGUGAAAACUCUGCAUUUAAAUUGCUUUUCCUCCCUUCCCCAAAUUUUCCAUAACUAUAAAUAAAUUUAAUUACCAUUCCA
rnacentral:lncRNA from 1 species